rnacentral:lncRNA from 1 species
GACAGAUUUUGUUUUUGAAAUGUUUUGCUAGCCCCACCUCAUUUAGCUAGACUGAAGUUGACAUAGCUAAAUGCCGCUGUAUUUUCUGUGUGUGUGAUGACAUCUUCAUCCCUGAAAAGGUUUUCAUCCUGGAGGAGACUGUGCAGGAGGCAAAGGAGGAAAGAAUGGUUAGUACAGCAUGCCAAACUGACCCCUGGGUGCCAGACUGUUCCUGUGCUGCGGUGGAGAAGAGGUCCACUGGGACCAUCACUAAAGCGCUCUGGGCCCAGCUAGAUUGAGCCCACGACCAUCAGUAUACAACCGAGUCCGGCCCCUAAACGCCACAGAUGGAGCUGACGGAGAGUGAGAUCAGUGAAGACCAGAACUCACUGUAUGAACCUGCGGGCUCAGAAUCACAAUCAUCACAGUAUGAGCCAAAAUAUACUACCAAUCACUUUGUGGGAGCGGGCUGGUGUUCCGAAAAUGGAAAAGGAACAAGCCAUGGACAGCGAAUUCAAAGAAACAACCAUCCAUAAAGGGAAUCGGAGUGGAAUUGUGUUUCCAAAGAUUUUUUACCCGUUUCAACAGAUGUGCUACCUUGUCCCGGUCCUGCUGUUUCGACUCUCUCUCUCAACCUAUGAAUGCUCAGCGAUGAAAAGCCAACUGACAUUUGCUCCUGAGGUGUUGUUAUAAUUUUGAUGUAAAAACGGCUUUUGUGAAACACAUUUGAUAGAUUGUUUGUUGUGCUGGAUGCUGUGUAUUCACUAACUGUCCUAGUGAUGGGACAUUUAUGUCUGUAACAUAUUUUGGUGUGUAUUUAAUCUGCAUCUUAACUUCUUAAAGUGGCAAUCAGCAGUAGAAACAAUAACAAAGUGUCUCCCUGCUCCUCUUUCGAUAAAAAGCUGAGGGAUGGGGCUGGAGAAAUCUAACCACUCUCAAAUUCAUAGACGGGCCUAUAGAUGCAAGGACUGACCAUCCAUGAUAUCAAAAUUGUAGUCCUGUUUCUAUGACCUGUUUCCAUUACCAUGUACCCAGUUCGCUUUGGAUAAAGGCGUCUGCUAAAUGGCAUCUAUUAUUAAAGUCU